CUUUGUCGCUUCCUUCUGGGUCAAAAGAAGAGCCUCUGCAGAAGCGAACUGGUGUCAUUCAAUGUUAAGAUCCAUUAUCAGCCGCUUGACUCGAUCUAGUGCUGAUUGCUUUGGCAUGAGUCACCACAAGGUCAACACAUUUGCAGAUACACUACCAAAUUAAUGAAUCCUGGAGUUACGAUC